AUUGAACGCUGGCGGCAGGCCUAACACAUGCAAGUCGAACGGUAACAGAAAGCAGCUUGCUGCUUUGCUGACGAGUGGCGGACGGGUGAGUAAUGUCUGGGAAACUUCCUGAUGGAGGGGGAUAACUACUGGAAACGGUAGCUAAUACCGCAUAACGUCGCAAGACCAAAGAGGGGGACCUUCGGGCCUCUUGCCAUCGGAUGUGCCCAGAUGGGAUUAGCUAGUAGGUGGGGUAACGGCUCACCUAGGCGACGAUCCCUAGCUGGUCUGAGAGGAUGAACAGCCACACUGGAACUGAGACACGGUCCAGACUCCUACGGGAGGCAGCAGUGGGGAAUAUUGCACAAUGGGCGCAAGCCUGAUGCAGCCAUGCCGCGUGUAUGAAGAAGGCCUUCGGGUUGUAAAGUACUUUCAGCGGGGAGGAAGGGAGUAAAGUUAAUACCUUUGCUCAUUGACGUUACCCGCAGAAGAAGCACCGGCUAACUCCGUG
rnacentral:rRNA from 1 species